rfam:Vigna angularis cultivar Jingnong 6 scaffold783_6, whole genome shotgun sequence.
UCAGCAGUGAUGAGCCUCUAAUAUGUAAGAAGAAAUUCCUAAUUGGUGUUCUUCAAUGAAAUUAAGUUGUUACGCUUGGCUUCUGAGCUUU